GAUGAAGAACGUAGCGAAUUGCGAUAAGUAAUGUGAAUUGCAGAAUUCAGUGAAUCAUCGAAUCUUUGAACGCACCUUGCGCCCUUUGGCCAUUCCGAAGGGCAUGCCUGUUUGAGUAUCAUGAACACCUCAACUCUUUAUGGUUUUCCAUGAUGAGCUUGGACUCUGGAGGUUUUGCUGGCUCACAGUCGGCUCCUCUAAAAUGAAUCAGCUUACCAGUGUUUGGUGGGUAUCAUGGGUGUGAUAACUAUCUACGCUUGUGGUUUUUCCACCAGGUAACCUUCAGCAGUGGAGGUUCGCUGGAGCUCAUAGAUGUCUCUCCUCAGUGAGGACAGCCCUUUGAAUGUUUGAUCUCAAAUCAGGUAGGACUACCCGCUGAACUUAAGCAUAUCAAUAAGCGGAGGA
rnacentral:misc_RNA from 1 species